rnacentral:misc_RNA from 1 species
GAUUUGACACUGAAUUUUCCUUUUGGAUCAAACUUCCAAAUCAUUCUAUCCUUGCGAUAAGGGCAAAUAGCUACAUCGUUAAGCAAAUUUAAUAAAUUAUCUCGUUGACUUGGCUCUCAAUCUCGCAAAUUUCUCCUCCACCUCAAGCACCAAUGCCAUUUAGAUCCAUCCCAUAAUCCCAUUCUAUUGACUACAACAUUUUGAUCCAUUGAUAUAGCAAAUAAAGAUGGAAAUGCUUUCUUUAACGCCUCGUUUCUAAUCCAAAUGUCUUUCCAAAAU